rnacentral:rRNA from 1 species
AUUGAACGCUGGCGGCAGGCUUAACACAUGCAAGUCGAGCGGGGGAAGGUAGCUUGCUACCGGACCUAGCGGCGGACGGGUGAGUAAUGCUUAGGAAUCUGCCUAUUAGUGGGGGACAACAUCUCGAAAGGGAUGCUAAUACCGCAUACGUCCUACGGGAGAAAGCAGGGGAUCUUCGGACCUUGCGCUAAUAGAUGAGCCUAAGUCGGAUUAGCUAGUUGGUGGGGUAAAGGCCUACCAAGGCGACGAUCUGUAGCGGGUCUGAGAGGAUGAUCCGCCACACUAGGACGGAGACACGGCCCAGACUCCUACGGGAGGCAGCAGCGGGGAAUAUUGGACAAUGGGGGGAACCCUGAUCCAGCCAUGCCGCGUGUGUGAAGAAGGCCUUAUGGUUGUAAAGCACUUUAAGCGAGGAGGAGGCUACUCUAGUUAAUACCUAGGGAUAGUGGACGUUACUCGCAGAAUAAGCACCGGCUAACUCUGUGCCAGCCGCCGCGGUAA